AGUGAACGCUGGCGGUAGGCCUAACACAUGCAAGUCGAACGGCAGCACAGUAAGAGCUUGCUCUUACGGGUGGCGAGUGGCGGACGGGUGAGGAAUACAUCGGAAUCUACUUUUUCGUGGGGGAUAACGUAGGAAAAGUUACGCUAAUACCGCAUACGACCUACGGGUGAAAGCAGGGGAUCUUCGGACCUUGCGCGAUUGAUUGAGCCGAUGUCGGAUUAGCUAGUUGGCGGGGUAAAGGCCCACCAAGGCGACGAUCCGUAGCUGGUCUGAGAGGAUGAUCAGCCACACUGGAACUGAGACACGGUCCAGACUCCGACGGGAGGCAGCAGUGGGGAAUAUUGGACAAUGGGCGCAAGCCUGAUCCAGCCAUACCGCGUGGGUGAAGAAGGCGCUCGGGUUGUAAAGUGCUGUUGUUGGGAAAGAAAAGCAGUAGUUUAAUACCCCGCGGUACUGACGGUACCCAAAGAAGAAGCACCGGCUAACUUCGUG
rnacentral:rRNA from 1 species